CCCCCAGUCCAAAGUUUUAUAGUCCAAUUCAAACAAAACAGGAAUGGAAAGCCAACAUCACAGAGUUCCCUUAAUGAACACUGAAGUUAAAGAUUCAGGAAGGAGCACAUAACCUAAUGCAUUCCAAGGAGAGAUGAAGAGAUGUUUGCUGGAGACUUAUCUAGAAAAGAUAAGUCUUCACUAGAGACUCCAUCAUUUAAAGUACUGCUCAGUAAUUGACUAUCGGAAGAAGAAAAUUGUACCCAGACGGUAGGAACAGAAUUCAUAAAUGGAUGGUCUGUGCUUCCCUGCUAACCAGCCCUCUGUCCCUCAAGACAUUUAUGAUCUGUUCCAACAACUGAAAAAUGGGGAGUUAGAGUACACAGUAUAUGAAGGCUUAUAUUCCUCCUGCCAUAAAUCUCUACUUUAGAAUCAAGAUCUGAAGAGAACGAUCAUCUUUACCUCUACUCUGCUUGCGUCUACCUUGGCCCUACAUUGAGCAAAUUCCAUAGAUAACAGUUGCUUUGACGGAAGACUGUAGCAGGUUAUAACGCCAGUGAGUAGAGAAGCCCUUUGAGGAACUGUAAUGAGUUCCUCAUAGCACACAGACAGAUGUGUUAUGUCCCGGCAAGGGAAGUAUCCAAUGGCCAGCCUUCAGAGUACAGUCAGUUUGAUGUUUUGCCUGGAGACUGUUAUUAUCCCAAAUGAGAAGGAAUGUGUGGUACUAUUAGAAAUGAAUACGUCAAGCUAUAGUCAAACACCAGGAGAUAAAUAGAACGAACAUACUUUUCUCCAGAAAAAAGUUUACCAGAUUACUUACUUCAUUGAACAAAGGAGCAAGUUAGAAAACCACCCUGUUAUCUCCCUCAUGCACUUGUGACAAAGACCUUCCUUCAAUCAAAUCGUGGAUACAACUGCUUCCUACCAUUCUUUUCAUCAUUCUCUCGGGCCAUUAUUUGCAAGUCAAGUGGGUAAUUCAUAGGUGUGUGCUGAUUAAGAACCACUGCAUGGAGUCAUUCUUUCUUUGAAUUAGACACCAACAAACAGAACUGACUUCUAAAAUAAUUGAUGAGAAUUAAUUUUACUACCAAAUAGAGAUACUAUAGAGGAGAAUUUGGAGAAUGAUUAAGA